GAUGAAGAACGCAGCGAAAUGCGAUAAGUAGUGUGAAUUGCAGAAUUCAGUGAAUCAUCGAAUCUUUGAACGCACAUUGCGCCUCCUGGUAUUCCGGGAGGCAUGCCUGUUCGAGCGUCAUUAAAAUCACUCAAGCUUAGGUUUACCUAUUGCUUGGUCUUGGAGAUGGAAGCCAAUUUAUUGGAAUCCUCUUCGAAAUUCAAUGGCGAAGACCCUUGCUCUCCCAAGUGUAGUAAUAACUUAUGUCACUGAAGGAAGCGAGAAAUCUUCUGCCGUAACCCCCAAAUUUUCUAUGAUUGACCUCGGAUCAGGUAGGGAUACCCGCUGAACUUAAGCAUAUCAAAAGCGGAGGA
rnacentral:misc_RNA from 1 species